GUUUUGGGAGAGUGCUUCUCCUGUAAGUUGGGAGUUUUUCCUGCAAGUCUAUUAUAUGGCUUUCAUGUCGUUGGGAGAUUCCCAAAAUAAUUCCACUAGGACAAGCAGAUGAAGUGCCUCGUUGAUCAAAGGGACAGUGAAUUUGUGGAACUCCAUUCUAAUAAGAUUCAAGGCCUGAUUAGAAAAUGACUACAGAAGAAAUAUGACAAAGACAGAGGAAUCACAUGGGAUACUCAUCUUACAAGUUCAUGUAAUGGAAAUAGCCAAUUCCCACACAUAGUCAUGAGGAAGAAGGGAGGUGGAAGAGGGGAGUCUUUCUAAAGCAGAGGGAAUCUAUACUUGAAGAUUAAAAAAAAAAAAAUACAAGUAUUUCUCAGAUCAUUUCCUUAUAGGCAUAGGAUGCUUUUGAUUAAAGAUGUAUUGCAAAACAAACAAAAAACACUAUAUAGUAAGAUCUGGAGCAGUUAUUACCACUAGCCAUUCUCAUGGGAUCCUGGGAUAAACUGCUGAUAUUUAGGUACUUCUACAUACCUGAUUUAGAGAUGUGUGAAGAUUGUUUGCUUCCACUUUUUAACUUUUUAACUUUGUCUAUUGAAACAAACCUCUGUUUACAAGCUCAUUUUUUCAAAUUGCUGCAUUUUUUCCAGAAGUAGGACUUCUUGAGGAUUCAGGUACUUGUGAUUUUUGUAUUUGGUCACAACUGAACCAAUUUAAGAGCACUGCAUUAGACUUGUAGCAACAAAACAGAUUUGUUUAUAUAUGCAUUAUAAACAUAAGCAUUGGUCUCAGUCUGAAUGACAUUCAGAGAUACUGUAAUAUAAGCGAGAUUGUUUAAAAAAAAAAAAAAACUUCUUCACCUUGCGUAUGCAAGUCAAUACCUAGAUGUUACUACCUACUGCAAAUAUCAGAGGAGUACAAUUCUGUACAAGCAUCUUUAUACAACUCUGAAUGCUGCCUUAUUGCACAGUUGAGGCACAAUUUUUCCCAGUUUCUCUGAGGUUUUUUUCAGUUUUCUUUUGUUAUCAUAAAGGAUCUAGUCAAUAGCUGUGAAUUUUGACAGAGACACCUUCUAAAUCAUUAUUAAAUUUUCUAACAAGCAGAGUGUCAAUCUCAGUUAUACUCUUUUCCGAGUGCCCCUUCUUGACUUCACUCACAGCUUGCUCUAAAUUUCAUUUUCAGUGUUUGGCCUUUCUUAAAGCAUCAUUAAGACUGUAUGGAUCUCUUACCCUGAUUUCUUGUGCAACAUAAGAUUUUCUUAUGUUACUCUUGUAAAGCAGAGAGAUCAAAUCUCCUGAAUAAUUAGACUUGUUUGGAAGGUAAAUGGAUGGCACUAAAUUCAGAUCUUGUCAAGAUGAUAAGAGAAUGAAAUUAAAGAGAUGGUAAAAUUAAAGAGAAAAGCAUAAAUCCAAUUGUUCACUUAGUGCCUCUUAAAUUCAGUGAUGUGGUUAAAGAACCCAUGAUUGGUUUUGUGGAAAUAUUUUGUCUGCUGUAGAGUGAUAUUUCCUCUGUAAGUACAGAAAAUGUUUGUAGGCUUAUAUAUUUAGUUACAGGAUGCAUCUAGGAUAUGGAUAUUCCAUUUGUGGCUUCCAACACAACAUGACAUUCAUCUAUAUUGCUAUGUUGUCUGUAAAAGUCAGAAUAUUUUUUUUCUCUUUGAUUAGCUUUUUCAAUGUAAAUUGUCUCAUUACAGUUAAACAAUCAAUAAUAGGAAAUAAACAUAUCUUUUCAUUAU
rnacentral:lncRNA from 1 species